rnacentral:rRNA from 1 species
AUGGCAAAUUUGGUCACCAACUGUGGUUUCAGUCCAUCUCCUGCUGUUAAGGCACACUGCAACUCACCAAGUUAUGGCCACAAUUUCAUCCGAUUACAAAAUUCGAAAUCUUCAACUUCAAGUCUGAACCUCAAAUCAUCUUGCAAGAGGUCAAAUAAGUUAUAUGUUACUUGUGCUAGUACUGCUGUACAAGGACAGACACAAACACCUCUUACUGGUAGUCAACAAGCAUCUGGGCAAUCAUCCUCUAAACCCAAAAAAGUUAUGGUUAUUGGUGGAGAUGGGUACUGUGGCUGGGCAACUGCUCUUCAUCUGUCCAACAAAGGUUAUGAGGUUGCUAUUGUUGAUAAUCUUGUUCGACGCCUUUUUGACCAUCAACUUGGCCUUGAUUCACUUACUCCCAUAGCUUCCAUCCAAAAUCGCAUUCGCCGAUGGAAAUCUCUUACUGGGAAGACAAUUCAGCUCUUCAUUGGUGAUAUAUGUGACUUUGAAUUCCUUUCUGAAGCCUUCAAGUCUUUUGAGCCAGAUUCUGCUGUCCACUUUGGUGAACAAAGAUCAGCACCAUUUUCUAUGAUUGAUCGUUCACGGGCAGUAUACACACAAAACAACAAUGUUAUUGGAACGCUUAACGUAUUGUUUGCCAUGAAGGAGUUUAGUGAAGAGUGUCAUUUGGUUAAACUAGGAACUAUGGGUGAAUACGGAACUCCAAAUAUUGACAUUGAAGAGGGAUUCCUCACUAUUACUCACAAUGGAAGAACUGAUACCUUACCUUAUCCAAAGCAAGCAAGCUCCUUCUAUCAUCUAAGUAAAGUGCACGACUCUCACAACAUAGCAUUUACUUGCAAGGCUUGGGGUAUAAGGGCCACAGAUCUUAACCAAGGCGUCGUCUAUGGAAUCAGAACAGAUGAAACUGCUAUGCAUGAAGAGCUGUCCAAUAGGUUGGACUAUGACGGAAUCUUUGGAACAGCACUAAAUAGGUUCUGUGUUCAGGCAGCUGUCGGUCACCCGCUUACAGUUUAUGGAAAAGGCGGUCAGACCCGUGGAUACCUGGACAUCAGGGACACCGUGCAAUGCGUGGAGCUAGCGAUCGCAAACCCAGCCAAGCCAGGCGAGUUCAGAGUCUUCAACCAGUUCACCGAGCAGUUCUCUGUGAACGAGCUGGCCAAGCUGGUGACCGCCGCGGGAGCGAAGCUGGGGCUGGACGUGCAGACCAAGUCGGUGCCCAACCCGCGCGUCGAGGCGGAGGAGCACUACUACAACGCCAAGCACUCGAAGCUGUCGGAGCUGGGGCUGGUGCCCCACCUGCUGUCAGACUCGCUCCUCGACUCGCUGCUCAACUUCGCCGUCCAGUACAAGGACCGGGUGGACACGGCGCAGAUCAUGCCCAGCGUGUCGUGGAAGAAGAUGGGGGCCAAGCCGAAGACGGUCUCUGUAUAG